rnacentral:rRNA from 1 species
UACGUAGGGUGCGAGCGUUAAUCGGAAUUACUGGGCGUAAAGCGUGCGCAGGCGGUUCGUUAUGUCCGAUGUGAAAGCCCCGAGCUUAACUUGGGAAUGGCAUUGGAAACUGGCGGGCUGGAGUGCGGCAGAGGGGGGUGGAAUUCCACGUGUAGCAGUGAAAUGCGUAGAGAUGCGGAGGAACACCGAUGGCGAAGGCAGCCCCCUGGGCCAAUACUGACGCUCAGGCACGAAAGCGUGGGGAGCAAACAGG